rnacentral:rRNA from 1 species
UACGUAGGUGGCAAGCGUUGUCCGGAAUUAUUGGGCGUAAAGGGCGCGUAGGCGGCCUGUUAAGUCUGAAGUGAAAGUCCUGCUUUUAAGGUGGGAAUUGCUUUGGAUACUGAUGGGCUUGAGUGCAGGAGAGGUAAGUGGAAUUCCCAGUGUAGCGGUGAAAUGCGUAGAGAUUGGGAGGAACACCAGUGGCGAAGGCGACUUACUGGACUGUAACUGACGCUGAGGCGCGAAAGUGUGGGGAGCAGAC